GAUGAACGCUAGCGGCAGGCCUAGUACAUGCAAGUCGAACGGUGUCUUCGGACAUAGUGGCGCACGGGUGCGUAACACGUAUGCAACCUACCUUACAUUGGGGGAUAGCCUUUCGAAAGGGAGAUUAAUACCGCAUAAGACAGUAGCUGGGCAUCCAGCAGCUGUUAAAGAUUUAUCGAUGUAAGCUGGGCAUGCGUCCAAUUAGCUAGUUGGUGAGGUAACGGCUCACCAAGGCAAUGAUUGGUAGGGGAACUGAGAGGUCAAUCCCCCACACUGGCACUGCGAUACGGGCCAGAUUCCUACGGGAGGCAGCAGUAGGGAAUAUUGGGCAAUGGACGCAAGUCUGACCCAGCCAUGCCGCGUGCAGGAUGAAGGCGUUAUACGUUGUAAACUGCCUUUAUACAGGAAGAAACGACUCUUGCGAGAGGCAUUGACGGUACUGUAUGAAUAAGCACCGGCUAACUCCGUGCCAGCCGCCGCCGGAACAC
rnacentral:rRNA from 1 species